rnacentral:rRNA from 1 species
UACCAGCACCCCGAGUGGUCGGGACGUUUAUUGGGCCUAAAGCAUCCGUAGCCGGUUUUACAAGUCCUCCGUUAAAUCCAGCUGCUUAACAGAUGGGCUGCGGAGGAUACUAUAAGACUAGGAGGCAGGAGAGGCAAGCGGUACUCAGUGGGUAGGGGUAAAAUCCGUUGUAUCCAUUGAAGACCACCAGUGGCGAAGGCGGCUUGCCCAGAAUGCGCUCGACGGUGAGGGAUGAAAGCUGGGGGAGCAAACCGG